rnacentral:rRNA from 1 species
CUACGGGUUGCACCAGCAGGGAAUAUUGCACAAUGGACGGAAGUCUGAUGCAGCGACGCCGCGUGGAUGAUGAAGGCCCUCGGGUUGUAAAAUCCUUUUCAGGGGGACGAGGAAGGACGGUACCCUUGGAAUAAGCGUCGGCUAACUACGUGCCAGCAGCCGCGGUAAGACGUAGGACGCAAGCGUUAUCCGGAUUUACUGGGCGUAAAGCGUCUGUAGGCGGAAUGGUAAGUUGGACGUGAAAGCUCCGGGCUCAACCCGGAGAGGUCGUUCAAUACUGCCAAACUAGAGGGCAUCAGAGGAGCGUGGAAUUUCCGGUGUAGCGGUAAAAUGCGCAGAUAUCGGAAGGAACACCAAUGGCGAAGGCAGCGCUCUGGGAUGAACCUGACGCUAAGAGACGAAAGCUAGGGGAGCGAACAGGAUUAGAUACCCUAGUAGUC